ensembl:snoRNA small nucleolar RNA SNORA29
AGUCCCAUUUUAGUACCUUUCAUUCGCACCAGUAUGAAUGGACGGCUAUGCUAAUGGGAUAGAAAAGACACUGUCACGAUCUGAAGGUGUGGCCGGCUGUCUGUGCACCCCACUUCAUGAAGGGACAGAAUAUUGCAAU